rnacentral:lncRNA from 1 species
GGAAUCAUGGAUCAUGGAGGGGUGUAGGCACUCCUCUACUCAAAGCAAAGCAGAAGUAGAAACAAAAACAAAGCAGACAUGCCUAGAAGCAGAGGUGUCAGGACUGCCAGAACUUUGUUGAUUAUGAGGAUCUUCAGUAUUCUUCUUCCUACAGUAGCUCAGCACCUUUCUACACUACCUGUGUUUUUUUAGUAGAAGAAAUAUUGAUGCUGUUGUCUCCAUACAUUGCCCUUGCAAGGAAUGGAGCUGAGUAGAGAUGAGGUCAUUAAAAACUGGAGGUGGUAUGAUAGAGCACACCACAGCAGUCCCUGCUCAUCAUGGAGGACAAAUGAACUUUUUUGCACUGACUCAAGG